rnacentral:misc_RNA from 1 species
AAGAAGAGAGAUGGUUAGCGUCGUACUGAUUCAGUUGGAACUUAAAUGUGGUGUUGUCGAUACGACAAGAGAAAAAAUUCAUUGUACUAAUGUUUGUGCACUAGAAUUCAAAGCUGUGAUGUAAAACUAGAUGUUGUACAGCAUUUCUGGUAGGUUGAUUUUUCCAAAUAUUGACAAUACAGUUGUUUUUUCCCCUUUUUUGGGGGUGGGGUGGGGGUUCAAGUGUUGAGCUUCAGUUUUUUUCUUU